rnacentral:lncRNA from 1 species
UUUUGAAAGAAAAAUUAGAAACUGGGGGGUCAAAACGAAAUUAAAAAAAAUUGUACCACAUAGAACUUCCCAGUCAGCAGCUCUGACGAACCGGAGCAUGCCACGUGACAAGGCACGCUGACUCGGUGCCACGCGAGAGGCCAAGUUGGCAAUUUGUGUGCCUGCGAUCGGACAGCCCGGAAGCAUUCCCGCACGCGUGGACGGUCCAGAUCCAUUCCCUCCUCAAGUGCGAUCGGACAGUCGUGAUUAAAUGCAAUGAACGUGCCAGAUUCAUUUCCUCUUUAAACAUGAUCGGA